rnacentral:rRNA from 1 species
UACGUUCCCAGGCCUUGUACACACCGCCCGUCACAUCAUGAAAGCCGUUUGUACCCGAAGUCGCCCCUUAAAAGGUGCCGAAGGUAUGGAUGGUGAUUGGGAUGAAGUCGUAACCAAGGUACC